UGAACGCUGGCGGCAUGCUUUACACAUGCAAGUCGAACGGCAGCGGGGACUUCGGUCCGCCGGCGAGUGGCGAACGGGUGAGUAAUGCAUCGGAACGUGCCUAUCAGUGGGGGAUAACGCUUCGAAAGGAGUGCUAAUACCGCAUAUUCUCCGAGGAGGAAAGCAGGGGACCUUAGGGCCUUGCGCUGAUAGAGCGGCCGAUGUCGGAUUAGCUAGUUGGUGAGGUAAUGGCUCACCAAGGCGACGAUCCGUAACUGGUCUGAGAGGAUGAUCAGUCACACUGGAACUGAGACACGGUCCAGACUCCUACGGGAGGCAGCAGUGGGGAAUAUUGGACAAUGGGCGAAAGCCUGAUCCAGCCAUGCCGCGUGUGUGAAGAAGGUCUUCGGAUUGUAAAGCACUUUAAGUUGGGAGGAAGGGCAUUAACCUAAUACGUUAGUGUUUUGACGUUACCGACAGAAUAAGCACCGGCUAACUCUGU
rnacentral:rRNA from 1 species